rnacentral:rRNA from 1 species
UACGGAGGGGGCGAGCGUUAUUCGGAAUUACUGGGCGUAAAGCGUGCGUAGACGGUUAUUUAAGUCAGGUGUGAAAGCCCCGGGCUCAACCUGGGAAUUGCAUUUGAGACUGAAUAGCUAGGGUGCGGAAGAGGGAAGCGGAAUUUCCGGUGUAGCGGUGAAAUGCGUAGAUAUCGGAAGGAACACCAGUGGCGAAAGCGGCUUCCUGGUCCAGCACCGACGUCAGGCACGAAAGCGUGGGGAGCAAACAGGG